rnacentral:rRNA from 1 species
CAGCCGCCGCGGGAAUACGUAGGUGGCAAGCGUUGUCCGGAAUUAUUGGGCGUAAAGGGAGCGCAGGCGGUUUAGUAAGUCUGGAGUUAAAGGCAUUGGCUCAACCAAUGUAUGCUUUGGAAACUGUUUGACUUGAGUGCAGAAGGGGAGAGUGGAAUUCCAUGUGUAGCGGAGAAAUGCGUAGAUAUAUGGAGGAACACCGGUGGCGAAAGCGGCUCUCUGGUCCGUCACUGACGCUGAGGCUCGAAAGCGUGGGUAGCGAACAGGAUUAGAUACCCCGGUAGUCCCUGUCUCUUAUACA